rnacentral:rRNA from 1 species
AACGACCGCUGGCGGCAGGCUUAACACAUGCAGGUCGAACGGAUGUAGCAAUACAUCAGUGGCAUACGGGUGAGUAACACGUGGGAACCUUCCUAGGAGUACGGAACAACUCAGGGAAACUUGAGCUAAUACCGUAUACGUCCGUGAGGAGAAAGAUUUAUCGCCCUUAGACGGGCCCGCGUCGGAUUGGCUAGUUGGUGGGGUAACGGCCUACCAAGGCGACGAUCCCUAGCUGAGCCUAGAGGAUGACCAGCCACACUGGGAAUGAGACACGGCCCAGACUCCUACGGGAGGCAGCAGUGGUGAAUCUUGGACAAUGGGCGCAAGCCUGAUCCAGCCAUUCCGCGUGAGUGAAGAAGGUCUUCGGAUUGUAAAGCUCAUUUGCCAGGGACGAUAAUGACGGUACCUGGAGAAUAAGCCCCGGCAAACUUCGUGCCAGCCGCCGCAGUAAGAC